rnacentral:sRNA from 1 species
GAUCUUUCAUCAAGAUUUUACCUGCAUUUAUGUCUAAGGGUCCCUGAUAAGGCUUGAGGCAUGUAACCUAUGUCUAAUUAAAAAUGAUUUGUUGAAUGAAUGAGUUUUGUCAUAUCUACACUAUUAUUCCAUCUUCUGUUAACUUCACCAUCUAAAACCUGUUGAAAUAAAUAUGUAAGAUAGCAUAUUUGGAGGGUCCCCACUGUGUCUUAAGGUAAUAGAUUUCUCAAUGUUUAUAUUCAAAGUUUCUCUCUCUUUGCUCUCAGGCAGCCCAUCAGGUCGGUGAGGAUGAGAUAAGCUUGUCCACUCUGGGACGAGUUUAUACUAUUGAUUUUAAUUCUAUGCAGCAAAUCAAUGAGGACACGGGAACAGCACGUGCCAUUCAGAGAAAACCUAACCCCUUAGCCAAUAGUAACACUAGUGGAUAUUCAGAGUCAAAGAAGGAUGAUGCUCGAGCACAGCUUAUGAAAGAGGAUCCGGAACUGGCUAAGUCUUUUAUUAAGACAUUAUUUGGUGUUCUUUAUGAAGUGUAUAGUUCCUCAGCAGGACCUGCGGUCAGACAUAAGUGCCUUAGAGCAAUUCUUAGGAUAAUUUAUUUUGCGGAUGCCGAACUUCUGAAGGAUGUUCUGAAAAAUCAUGCUGUUUCAAGUCACAUUGCUUCCAUGCUGUCAAGCCAAGACCUGAAGAUAGUAGUGGGAGCGCUUCAGAUGGCAGAAAUCUUAAUGCAGAAGUUACCUGAUAUUUUUAGUGUUUACUUCAGAAGAGAAGGUGUAAUGCAUCAAGUAAAACACUUAGCAGAAUCAGAGUCUUUGUUGACAAGCCCACCAAAGGCGUGUACGAAUGGGUCAGGAUCCUUGGGAUCCACAACUUCAGUCAGCAGUGGGACAGCCACAGCUGCCACUCAUGCUGCAGCUGACUUGGGAUCACCCAGCUUGCAGCACAGCAGGGAUGAUUCUUUAGAUCUCAGCCCUCAAGGG